rnacentral:rRNA from 1 species
AACGAACGCUGGCGGCAUGCCUAACACAUGCAAGUCGAACGAGACCUUCGGGUCUAGUGGCGCACGGGUGCGUAACGCGUGGGAACCUGCACUUAGGUUCGGAAUAACUCCCCGACAGGGGUGCUAAUACCGGAUCAUGUCUUCGGACCAAAGAUUUAUCGCCUUUGGAUGGGCCCGCGUUGGAUUAGCUCGUUGGUAGGGUAAAAGCCUAACAAGGCGACGAUCCAUAACUGGGCUGAGAGAAUGAUCAGCAACACUGGGACUGAGACACGGCCCAGACUCCUACGGGAGGCAGCAGUGGGGAAUAUUGGACAAUGGGCGAAAGCCUGAUCCAGCAAGGCCGCGUGAGUGAUGAAGGCCUUAGGGUUGUAAAGCUCUUUUAACCGGGAUGAUAAUGACAGUACCGGGAGAAUAAGCUCCGGCUAACUCCGUG